UCAAGUUUAUAGAUGCUCCCUUAAGAGUCACAGAAAGAAUCAUUUUUGAAAGAUAUGAAUCAGUUACGUACUCCACACAGCAGUAUGUAUGAUAUUGUCCUUUUCAUGAUCAUUUUUCAGUGCGUCACAAAUGAUAGGAAAAAGGUUAUGGCGCCAUCUAUCGACAACUAGAAUAAUCAUAGAACUAGAAGUAAUCACCGACGUGCCUUUUUUUCUGUCACAUACAAUUUAAUACGUUAGAAAGAAAUCGAAAAACUGUGACGCACUGAAAGAUGAUAAUGAGAAAAAGAAUACAUUUGUUUGUUACAUUGUUAAAGAGAGUUAUAAAUGAAUAUACAAACUUA
rnacentral:lncRNA from 1 species